rnacentral:rRNA from 1 species
CAAUAGCGUAUAUUAAAGUUGUUGCAGUUAAAAAGCUCGUAGUUGGAUUUCUGGUGGGAGUGACCGUUCCGGACUUGAUUGUCUGUGUAUUGAGUUGUCUCCAGCCAUCCUUGUGGAGAACUUUUCUUGCAUUAAUUUGUAGGGAUUGGGAUCCACAUCGUUUACUGUGAAAAAAUUAGAGUGUUUAAAGCAGGCAAUCGCUUGAAUACAUUAGCAUGGAAUAAUAAGAUAGGACUUUGGUACUAUUUUGUUGGUUUGCAUACCAAAUUAAUGAUCAACAGGAACAGUUUGAGGAUAUUCGUAUGAACAUGUCAGAGGUGAAAUUCUUGGAUUUUGAUCAGACGAACUACUGCGAAAGCAUUUAUCAAGGAUGUUUUCAUUAA